rnacentral:lncRNA from 10 species
CUUUCCUACCUGGUCUUCUAGGAAGCGGCUGCUGCCCUAGACGCUGGCUCCUCAGUAGCAUCAGCACGAGGGCCACAGCGGCGGGCGCCCCUGGCGCUGCCCACUCCCCCGUGAGCCGCGGGAUGUGAACCACGAAAACCCUCACUCGCGGCGGGCCGCACGCGCGCCGAAUCCGGAGGGUCACCAAGAACCUGCGCACCAUGUUCUCGCCGCCUCCAGGGCCGAGCUCGGCAGCCGCUGCGCCGCCCUUUGGCACCAGAGGUGAGCAGCGCCACUCCUGCCCCCUUAACUGCAGACUGGGACCCACGCACCGCCCCCUGCCCAUCUCCGCCCCGCAGGCGCGCACCCGCCUUCCCUGAGCGCGCCCGCCCCCCACCUUCACCCCCACCCCCACCCCACCCCCACUCCCACCCGGACCUCCAAGAUCUCGGAACGGCUCUGAGCCCUGCGCACGCGGGAAGGGCUGCCGGAGGCGCCCGUAGGGAGGCGCGCGCGCGGGCGGCUCAGGGCCCGCGUUCCUCUCCCUCCCGCCUACCGCCACUUUCCCGCCCUGUGUGCGCCCCCACCCCCACCACCAUCUUCCCACCCUCAGCGCGGGCGCCCCGCGGUGACGGCCCAGGGGCCGGACGCCUGGAACGCAACUCCAGGCAGCUCGCCCCCUAGCUACAUCCGUCACCUGACACGGCCCUACCAGGAACAGCCGCGCUCCCGCGGAUUCUGGUGCUGCUCGCGUCCCCGCUCCCCUAUUCCCCUUAUUUUAUUCCUGGCUCCCCUCGUCGAAAGUCUUCCAUUCUUCAAACUAGAUUAUUUAAAAAUGAAAAAGGAAGAAAGGAAAGCGAGGUCAUCUCAUUGCUCUAUCCGCCAAUCAGGAGGCUGAAUGUCAGUUUUGAACUAAAAGCCGCUCCGCUCCUCUUCUAGAUUUGGAAAACAAGCGAAAUUAAACUAAACCGCUGCACGCCUCUGACGCGACAUCUGGACACGGCGCGGCGCUGGCGCUGCCGGAGCUGUCGACCCGGCCUGGCGCCGGACUAGGACUAUUUGCCACGACAUUUCAAAGGAUUCCAAGAGAGAAUAUUGGUGUCCAUGCUGUGAUGAUUCCUCAGCUCCUCUCAUCUGAUCUCCGUCCUGGCCCCCAUGACUUUCUUUGUGGUAGUUAGGGUGUGGUAUGUGCCACUGAGGCCCACACCUAUUGCUGUAAGUGCUGUUUGGGAAACCAUCAUCUUUCAGAUAUUGAGAAACCACAGAAAGAGAGAAGUUAAAUAAUUUUCCUGUCAAAGACCACAUCAAUGAUGAAGCCAGAAUUUGAGCUCAUGUACUUAACCACUGGACUACCUGCCUGCCCUGUCGAGGAACAGCUAAGUGUCCCUUUUGAUGAGAAGAAUAAGCCUCAUUCUGAUUCAACAGCAGAGAUCAAAGAAAAGACUUCUGUUUUCUGGCCACCAGAUAUAUGUUAUCUGUGCUUAAAGAAUUGAAAAACACACAUCAAAGGAGAAUUUUCUUGGAAAGAGAGGGUUCAAGCAUCACUGUUAGGUGUGCUGGAAUCCUUUCCCGAGUCAGUACUGCUUUCUAGAAGAAAACCGGGGAGAUCUAUUUGGAAUGUAUCUAACUCCAAAGAAACCAUCAGAGGUAACAGGUGGAGAACUUCAGUAGAGGAAGUGGCAGGAAUUUGGGAAUGAGGAGCACAGUGAUUAAACUGGGGCCAUUCAUAUGAGAGUUUAAGAACUCAG